GAUGAACGCUGGCGGCGUGCCUAAUACAUGCAAGUCGAGCGAAUGGAUUAAGAGCUUGCUCUUAUGAAGUUAGCGGCGGACGGGUGAGUAACACGUGGGUAUCCUGCCCAUAAGACUGGGAUAACUCCGGGAAACCGGGGCUAAUACCGGAUAACAUUUUGAACCGCAUGGUUCGAAAUUGAAAGGCGGCUUCGGCUGUCACUUAUGGAUGGACCCGCGUCGCAUUAGCUAGUUGGUGAGGUAACGGCUCACCAAGGCAACGAUGCGUAGCCGACCUGAGAGGGUGAUCGGCCGCACUGGGACUGAGACACGGCCCAGACACCUACGGGAGGCAGCAGUAGGGAAUCUUCCGCAAUGGACGAAAGUCGGACGGAGCAACGCCGCGUGAGUGAUGAAGGCUUUCGGGUCGUAAAACUCUGUUGUUAGGGAAGAACAAGUGCUAGUUGAAUAAGCUGGCACCUUGACGGUACCUAACCAGAAAGCCACGGCUAACUACGUGCCAGCCGCCGUAACAC
rnacentral:rRNA from 1 species